CAACUAUUCAGCUAUUUUCCCAGAUCAGCUAUUUUAUUCUAACAUAUUAAAUUUUGCAGUAAUCCUGGUUAAGUUUAUAAUCUUGUUCUCAGUGAUGUCUCACCACUGUCAAAGUAUACACGGUGUGACUUACACAAAUGAAUGCUGGUUUAUCGUAAAGAUGCUUUGCUAUAGUGUAUUUUUUAAUCAAACAUCAGAUUUGCCUCUGUUUGCCGCUAUCUUUAAUUUGAAUAAACGUCUAUCCACUGAUUAUGUUGGCGUAGGCCAGCUGGAGCCCCUGCUUAGUAAUGGUCCGUG